CCGUAACUUAGGGAUAAGGGGUGCCACCAUCCGGUGGCCGCAGAGAAUAGGCCCAAGCGACUGUUUACCAAAAACAUAGGUUUCUGCUAAGUCGCAAGACGAUGUAUAGGAGCUGACGCCUGCCCGGUGCUGGAAGGUUAAGGGGAUCUGUUAGAGCAAUCGAAGCAGUGAACUUAAGCCCCAGUAAACGGCGGCCGUAACUAUAACGGUCCUAAGGUAGCGAAAUUCCUUGUCGGGUAAGUUCCGACCCGCACGAAAGGCGUAACGAUUUGGGCACUGUCUCAACAACAGACUCGGUGAAAUUGUAAUUCCGGUGAAGAUGCCGGAUACCUGCGACAGGACGGAAAGACCCCAUGGAGCUUUACUGUAGCUUGACAUUGGGUCUUGGUACUACAUGUACAGGAUAGGUGGGAGGCUUUGAAACCAGGACGCCAGUUUUGGCGGAGCCAUCCUUGGGAUACCACCCUUGUAGUACUGGGACUCUAACCAUAGGCCAUGAAUCUGGUCUUGGGACACUGUCAGGUGGGCAGUUUGACUGGGGCGGUCGCCUCCCAAAAGGUAACGGAGGCGCUCAAAGGUUCUCUCAGUACGGUCGGAAAUCGUACGUAGAGUGUAAAGGCAAAAGAGAGCUUGAUUGCAAGACAUACAGGUCGAGCAAGGAUGAAAAUCGGACUUAGUGAUCCGGUGGUUCUGCGUGGAAGGGCCAUCGCUCAACGGAUAAAAGCUACCCUGGGGAUAACAGGCUUAUCUCCCCCAAGAGUCCACAUCGACGGGGAGGUUUGGCACCUCGAUGUCGGCUCAUCACAUCCUGGGGCUGUAGUAGGUCCCAAGGGUUGGGCUGUUCGCCCAUUAAAGUGGUACGCGAGCUGGGUUCAGAACGUCGUGAGACAGUUCGGUCCCUAUCCGUCGCAGGCGUAGGAAAUUUGAGAAGACCUGUCCUUAGUACGAGAGGACCGGGAUGGACGUACCUCUGGUGUACCAGUUGU
rnacentral:rRNA from 1 species